CUCUACCCACAACUCCCCGGGGUCGCAUGCGGUCAACGUAUGCGCGUGCGCUCGCCGUAGCCCCGCCCCCAAAUCCCGUGGGCCUCUGCGGCAUGGUAUUUAAUCGUCUCCCCGGGGAGAUUCGUUCUCAUUUUUCUACUGCUCGUGGUAAGUGGCUUCGUGGUCUUUAUAGCUGUUACUCUUUUGUACUUUGUCUUUUUCUUUUAUUUUCUUUUGAGCGAUUGUGCGAACAUAGCAUAGCACGCACUAUGCCUUCUGUGUUGUAGCUGCCUGGCCAGGGCGACUGGCGGAUAAGGUCUUGUGCGUGGCCUCGAGGCUUAAAAGUAGCAGUGGGGCUUUGUGAAGGACAAAAUGGCGAUGGCGGGCCGUGUAGGUCCCCCUUCCUAUGAUGAGGACCUUUUCACAGACCUGUACUGAGCUCCGUGAGGAUAAAUAACUCUGAGGAGAUGGGCCCUGCAAGCCUCUUGCUUAGCCGUCUGUUCAGAAAAUAGCGUUUUCGAAAUGCCCUGAGUUGACCUAAUGUCUUAUUGGGCUCCUGUCUGCAGGAUUUACGCGCACGUUGGAACCGAAGAGAGCUCUGUUGUUGCAAUGUUCAGCCCACAAGAGCUUACUGGUGAAGGAAUGGGACAAGACCCAUCUUUAUGCAAAGCCAGCGUUACAGUAAUGUUCCAGGUAGGUGUACAUGGUUUAUGCUCUUACAGAGGAGACCUUGUAGAUAACCACUCCAUGAUGAACACAAAAUGACAAGCAUAUGGCUGAACUUUCAAGUGAUGUCAUCUUACUACUGAGAAGUGAGAGAGAGGUCUUAAGGGGUCUUUGAAUGACUAUUUUUAGGUACAUAAAAUGCUUUCCUCUGUUGUCUACAGCAUCUCAUAAUCUAUCCUGGGGAAUUCAGCUGCCUCCCAGGGUGAAUACAGGUAAUUAUCCAAAUUGGUGUAUGUCAUCUUUGUAAAUGUUCAAGAAAACAAGUGGCCGGCGGAACAAUGUUUUUUGGCGCCUUCCAUCUUGUUCCUCUUGAAAUGAUUUUCUGGGGAGGGAGAUCGCAACCCGGUACUACAGUUCUUGUAAGGGUGUGCUGUUACCCUCAUCCAUAUAUCGAUCACGUUACUGUCAGAUGAUUUGAAUUGAUAAGCUGAUGUUCUGUGAGGUACAAAAGUUAAUAGCAUGUUAGAGUUCUGAUGGCAGUUGUUGUUUAUGAAUAAGCUUCAUUCCAUCCUAAUACCUUAAAAUAACUAAUUUGCUUUCCUUUCCAGGUAUUCCUGAUGACAGUCUGCCUCUAUCUUACAGAGCAGCUUGUUGCUAUAUACCAUUGAAAAGCCUUCAGAGCUGAGAGGUUAGUUGAUAUUUUUUGUUCCUUACAGCUUAUGCCACCAAGUAGGCAGUUUCUAUGAUGAAUCAAACUAGCUCACUAUGACCGACAGUGAAAAUACAUGAACACCUGAGAAACUGGAGAACGCAGGGAGUGGGGGGUAACCAUGUCUGAGGAAUCUUUCACCCACAGCUUUGUUUUUCUCUAGGUACUACUAACCAAUAACCUGCUUGGCUCAAAGGUGAGUAAUUUCACGGUAUUCAAUGCACUCAGUAUAUAGGGUAGGAAAAAGUGCCUUUUUAGGCCUGUGUUUGUGAUGACUUACAUGGAAUCUCGUUCGGCUGAUGACUUGCUGUUGAGACUCUGAAAUCUGAUUUUCUGAGAAUGAUGGGUGGGAACAACAUAAUGCGGGAUAUGAGAAGCACUACUGACUUGGUCUUCCUCCUUUCAGGGCCAGCACCUUCUCUCUAAAGCCCAAGAGGAGUUUGAGGUAAAUGGCUUUGCAAUAGUUACCAUCAAUGGCUGCUAUAUAAAAUUUUCUGUGAUUUUUGUGUGUGAUAGCACUGUGGUCUGGGUGAAUGUACACAGACAUAACUGGCUUAACCCAAAGUCUUUGAUCUCCUGAACCACCAGUGAUGAAUUGCUGCUCACCAGUGAUGAGUUGAAUACCGCCCCAGUCUGAUCAAUGUGUGACUGAAAGGUAUUUUCUGAGCUGUGAGCCUGCCUUCCAGUGACAUGUUCUAAAAAUUGCAAGUUAUUUGAGGAGGCUUUACAGCCAAUAGGAAGUUCUUGGGCUAAGUAGUGUUUCCUAUAAAAUGUGCCCUGAAACUUCUUUCUGCCAAGCAAUAGAUACAAUUGAGAGAUUGUAAAAUGUGACAUAGAAUGAAAGUCUCUCAAGACUACAUUUUUCUUUCUUGAUUUUGCAGGAAAACUAGGUGUCUGUGUUCACUCCAGGCUGAAGUUACAGGUGAGUAAACCUAAAUGUAAGGUGGACUAUGCUAAAAAUUCCCAAUGAAGAAACUUUCACAUGUCUUACUCUCUGUCCUAGUCCCAGAGCCUGUAAAGGUGAACCCACUGGGACUGGCUGGGGGAGAAGAGGAAGAUUUGUUCCAGAAGGAACUGUCUGAGGGAUGAUAAAGAUUUCUAUACAGAGAAAGGGAGUAAUCAUCACUUGUUGAAAACAUUGGUUUUAUUUUUUCCAGGUCUGAGCAAAUAAGGUGUAUAAAAAAUGGAAUCUGUCUUGGAGGACAUCAGAAGGUGAAUUUUCCAAGUUCUUGGACAACCUAGCUGUUGAAAAGCUUUCUGGGUUUGGGGGGUAUUUCAGAUGUACCUUAAAGUGUUAGCAGACACAGAUUAAGACACUGGGAGCCAAUGAAACAGCAGUUGAGGGUUUGCUGUGUAUCACAUUUCUGUAUUUUAUCACCCCCUUCCUGCAACAUUAUUUAUCUGGAAUCUACCUGCCCUUUUGUUUUUUAGAUACAAGGGCUUGGUUUUGUUACCCAGGCUGGUUUCAAGGCCAUAGCUUUAAGAGAUCCUCUCACCACAGAUUUCCAAAGUGCUGGGAUUGCAGGUGUGAUUCAUGGCACCCAGACUUUGCUGCCUUUCUUACAUGAUCCAGGCCCAGAACCCAAACUCAGGCACUGUAUAGAUGACCACUUUCGUAAACUACUGACCUAGCUUGUUGCCAAUUGUUGAUUGAACUUCCCAUAACUCCACUUCGUGUCUGUUCCUCUGUAUACAGCCACCUUCUGUUCCCGUCAUGAGCCUUUAGGUCUCCAUUUGCAUAUUGCAAAUACUAUGUUCCAUGUAGGUAGCUCAUUCAGGGCCUUGCUCUUCACUUCAAAAAAGGUUCCCUUGAGGACUGGCUGUCAAUUUGUGUUGCUGUGUUGGUUGUUGAUGAAAAUAAUAAAAUGAUUGAUUACAUAGUCCUGUUUACUUUUUUUGUGUGUAUGUGUCUCUUAGCAUCAGUGUGUAA
rnacentral:lncRNA from 1 species